rnacentral:tRNA from 1 species
GGGGCAUUAGCUCACUUGGGAGAGCGCCGCCUUUGCACGGCGGAGGUAGCCGGUUCGAACCCGGCAUGCUCCACCA